rnacentral:rRNA from 1 species
GUCGUACGGGAGUUUUUACUCAAGUGGCGGACGGGUGAGUAACACGUAAGAAUUUGCCUUUAGGAGGGGGAUAACAACUGGAAACGGUUGCUAAUACCCCAUAUGCUUUCGAGUGAAAUGGAUUUUUCCGCCUAAAGAGAAGCUUGCGGCUGAUUAGCUUGUUGGUAAGGUAAUGGCUUACCAAGGCGACGAUCAGUAUCUGGUUUGAGAGGACGAUCAGACACACUGGAACUGAGACACGGUCCAGACUCCUACGGGAGGCAGCAGUGGGGAAUUUUCCGCAAUGGGCGAAAGCCUGACGGAGCAAUACCGCGUGAGGGAUGACGGCCUAUGGGUUGUAAACCUCUUUUUUCAGGGAGGAAUCAAUGACGUGUACCUGAAGAAUAAGCAUCGGCUAACUCCGUGCCAGCAGCCGCGGUAAGACGGAGGAUGCAAGUGUUAUCCGGAAUCACUGGGCGUAAAGCGUCUGUAGGUGGUCAAAUAAGUCAACUGUUAAAUCUUGAGGCUCAACCUCAAAAUCGCAGUCGAAACUAUUAGACUAGAGUAUAGUAGGGGUAAAGGGAAUUUCCAGUGGAGCGGUGAAAUGCGUAGAGAUUGGAAAGAACACCGAUGGCGAAGGCACUUUACUGGGCUAUUACUAACACUGAGAGACGAAAGCUAGGGUAGCAAAUGGGAUUAGAUACCCCAGUAGUCCUAGCCGUAAACAAUGGAUACUAGAUGUUGAACAGAUCGACCUGUACAGUAUCAAAGCUAACGCGUUAAGUAUCCCGCCUGGGAAGUAUGCUCGCAGAGUGAAACUC